AGAGUUUGAUCAUGGCUCAGGACGAACGCUGGCGGCGUGCCUAACACAUGCAAGUCGAGCGAUGAAACCCUUCGGGGUGGAUUAGCGGCGGACGGGUGAGUAACACGUGGGUAACCUGCCUCAAAGAGGGGAAUAGCCUCCCGAAAGGGAGAUUAAUACCGCAUAAUAUGUUUUGGUCGCAUGACCUUGACAUCAAAGGAUUUUUCUUCGGAAAUUUCCACUUUGAGAUGGACCCGCGGCGCAUUAGCUAGUUGGUGAGGUAACGGCCCACCAAGGCAACGAUGCGUAGCCGACCUGAGAGGGUGAUCGGCCACAUUGGAACUGAGACACGGUCCAGACUCCUACGGGAGGCAGCAGUGGGGAAUAUUGCGCAAUGGGGGAAACCCUGACGCAGCAACGCCGCGUGAAUGAUGAAGGCCUUCGGGUUGUAAAGUUCUGUCUUCUGGGACGAUAAUGACGGUACCAGAGGAGGAAGCCACGGCUAACUACGUGCCAGCAGCCGCGGUAAUACGUAGGUGGCAAGCGUUGUCCGGAUUUACUGGGCGUAAAGGAUGCGUAGGCGGACAUUUAAGUCAGAUGUGAAAUACCCGAGCUUAACUUGGGUGCUGCAUUUGAAACUGGGUGUCUAGAGUGCAGGAGAGGUAAGUGGAAUUCCUAGUGUAGCGGUGAAAUGCGUAGAGAUUAGGAAGAACACCAGUGGCGAAGGCGACUUACUGGACUGUAACUGACGCUGAGGCAUGAAAGCGUGGGGAGCAAACAGGAUUAGAUACCCUAGUAGUCC
rnacentral:rRNA from 1 species